CUAAGUUUGUUGCCUGUUUGUCAGCAGCCUGUCCCUGUGCCAUGUUGUCAUCAGUGCAUGGUUUUGUACAUGGGUAUGUUUGGUUGUUGCUGGAAGUUGCCAGAAAAACAUUGUUACCGUUAUUUGUCGUUUCAUGCUGUGUGUUUCCUGUUGUAUUUUAGCCAUUUCUGACGUGAAGUUGCUGUGCUUAUUCAUUUGGUUUAUAUACUGUACAACAACAAACACAUACUUGUACAUUACCUUGUCAAAAUGAUUGGUACAGUCCUAGAACAACAGGACACAAGACAUCGAGUGCAUACACAGAGUUAAAAUACUACUGAGGCCAUUGUGUACCAACAGCUCACACAAAGUCACAUGCAUCUCAACUUUCUUGAAGGUUUCUUGUUCCCUAUUGUGCCAGGAGGCUUGUCUUAUUGUACUGCCUCUGAUGGUUUGGUUUUACUUAUGUUAUACUUCAGCUAAUUUGAAAGCAUCAUAUUUUACUCCAAAAUAUAUGUUUGUUUUUUAACCAUCACAGACUGAGAGGCCUUUCUCCUGUGUUGGAUUCCCUGUGUUAUGGGAGCGUGACCAGUGGCCGUUACUUAAACAAAAUCUAUUUUGCAAUGACAUUGAAUAAACAUAAAAUAUCAUUUUUAGAAUUAGGUCUUAGGUUUGUUACUAGGUUGAUCCAUGUCACAGUUUAUAGCGGGUGUUAUCAUGAUGACAAGUUGGACUUCCCCUGAAAUUUAGGAACGUUUCCACUAGAACUCCAAAACUUUUCACUCUUACUGGAUGAGCCUUACUGGAUGAGUCGUCAAAUGGGGAAAUUUGAUUGGCUGGGAUUUUUGGAUUUAUGGAUUUGUUUUAUUUUUUUAUGUUUUCAUUAUGACAAAUUGUACUUGAUUAAAAGUAAGAGCACUGUUCUUUUGAACUCUCAAACUGUUGAUUAUUGCUGUAUGUCACUUGCUGUACAAGUCAGUUAUUUGGUGAAGUAUUGCCUUUUGUUGAUUCCAGAUCUUGAAAAGUACCAAACACCAUUUUAAAAACAAAUUGAACCAAAAGUUACAUGUAUCUCGUGGUAUUGUGGAUUAUAAUUGACCGAAGACCAUUUCCGAAUUGCCCUACGACCAGGAUGACACGUCAUAGUAGCCACCCUUACGACAUCUUGAUGGUAGACACCCU